GCUCAUGAACCGCAUCAUUACAGAGAACGCGAAUGCCCUCAACCUCGACAUCCAGGACGGUCUUGGAAACACUGCCCUCCACUACAGUGCUGCUGCCAACCACACUGACACCAUCGUCAUCCUC
rnacentral:ribozyme from 1 species